UUCCGGGAACGGGGGUUGGAGUUAACGCGUUGAAGAAAUUCUGCCCUUCAGGUCGGGGGACAACGACUAAAAAACGGGUCGCUAAUACCCGAUGUGCCGAGAGGUGAAAGGUUAACUGCCUGAAGAUGAGCUCGCGUCCGAUUAGCUAGUUGGUGGGGUAAGAGCCUACCAAGGCAGUGAUCGGUAGCUGGUUUGAGAGGACAAUCAGCCACACUGGGACUGAGACACGGCCCAGACUCCUACCCGAGGCAGCAGUGGGGAAUUUUCCGCAAUGGGCGAAAGCCUGACGGAGCAAUACCGCGUGAGGGACGAAGGCCUGUGGGUUGUAAACCUCGGGGCUCAGGGAAGAAGAUCUGACGGUACCUGAGGAAUCAGCAUCGGCUAACUCCGUGCCAGCAGCCGCGGUAAGACGGAGGAUGCAAGCGUUAUCCGGAAUUAUUGGGCGUAAAGCGUCCGCAGGCGGUCUCGUAAGUCUGUCUUUAAAGCGUGGAGCUUAACUCCAUAAAGGGGAUGGAAUUCUGCGAGACUAGAGGUAGGUAGGGGUAGAAGGAAUUCCCAGUGUAGCGGGUGAAAUGCGUAGAUAUUAUAGGGGAACACCAGCAGCGAACGCGUUCUACUGGACAAACCUGAGCUCAUGGACGAAAGCUAGUUG
rnacentral:rRNA from 1 species